rnacentral:rRNA from 1 species
UACGGAGGUGGCAAGCGUUGUCCGGAAUUAUUGGGCGUAAAGCGCGCGCAGGUGGUUUCUUAAGUCUGAUGUGAAAGCCCACGGCUCAACCGUGGAGGGUCAUUGGAAACUGGGGAACUUGAGUGCAGGAGAGAAGAGUGGAAUUCCACGUGUAGCGGUGAAAUGCGUAGAGAUGUGGAGGAACACCAGUGGCGAAGGCGACUCUUUGGCCUGUAACUGACACUGAGGCGCGAAAGCGUGGGGAGCAAACAGG